rnacentral:lncRNA from 1 species
GACACAACCCCAGACAAAUUCAGUCAACCUCCACAGGAUCUUUUAUCCCCCAAAGUUGUGAAGACACCACCACCAAGCCCAGCAGAGUUCAAAGACCCUGCGUGGAGUAACUCAUCAUCACAAUCUUCACAAGAAGGAAAAGUACUGGAUGUUGAUGGGGCAGCACAAGUGCACACUGCUUCAACUGAAGGAAAUGAUGGCUCAGUGGAUUUUGAUGGUCCCAAAACGCAAAAUCAGCCCGAGACAUCCAUUUCGGUUCAACCAGAUUUCAACGCAGAAGCGACGUUACCUAAACCCAGUGAAGAUGAAAUUGUCUCUCUUCUCUCUAUCAAAUCACAAAAAUCAAAAGCCAAAGAACCACUGCCAAAGCCCUGCCCUAUAACAAAUCCCGCUACUAAUGUUAUAUCAAUAAUAAGCAAGUAUGAGGCUUUCAAUGCCCAAAGUCGAAGUCAAGAGCACGAUUAUACCUCUCAUGAAACUCAGGUGACCGCAAAACAGUCGAGUUCCGAGGAAGGUGAAGAAAAACCCAAGAUUAGUUCAGCAGACACAGACGGAAGUACGAUUGUAUCUUCACAACUAUCCAAAGUUGAUCCACAAGAUGACGAUGACCUAAAGAAAAGCAAAUUGAAUGCUCCACCUACGAAAACAGUGGCUUGGUCUCCAUCAGUUCUUUCAAGCUCUGACAGCUCAGAACCUAGUGAAAGUGAUCUAAGAAGCCCAG